AGCAAGCUCAGGCUUGGCCAAAUGGUUUGUUUUGGCGAAUGAAAAGCGAGUGGAAGUGAUAGGUGCUGCUUCGUUUAAGAUCUUUCCCUUGGUUCCACCGUCAUUCUUUGCCUCCUGUCCUGAGACCAGUAUAUCCCAGAGAGGACUGCUUGACGGCCUUGUGGAAUGAAGACCAGAACCUCAGCCGGCCUGCAGCCCAUCUUCCAUAAGCCUUGAUCAUGCACAACUGGAUGAAAGUGGAGGAAAGGAGAAAGCCCAGAAAAAGUCAAAUGGAUGGUGGAAGAAUCUGUGUGCGUUCACGCUCCAGCAUGGGUGGACCUUGAGGACAUGUGCCGAGUGAAAUAAGCCAGACACAAAAGGACAAAUACUGUAGGAUUCCACCUACAUGAGGUUAACAUUACUUGGUGAUGAGAGGUGGGAUCCAGAGAAGACCCCCAGCAACUUCGGAGGUGAGCCAAAUAGGUGGCGCCCCCCACAGAUCUAGUUGGGUUCACGCUCUUUCGCCAACCCCGGAGUCGGAGGGUAUGUCCUCGCCUGAAUUUCGAGCUCCGUUCUUUGUAUUAGAGCCGUCCAAACUUUAUGUGAGAUCUGUUUUAAGGCUUGUUCUCUCGAAGAGGACUGAUUUGGCCUUCAGUCGGACUCCUUUUUGCCAUUGGAUUGUUCCUGUUGGAAUUGUGCCAGUUUGAACUGCGUUGGCCUUUGGUCCAAUUCUUGUUUUAGGAUCAACCUCUGCCUGUUGGAACUGUCCUACUCUUGUUUGGAACUGGACGGUUCCUCCUGGAUCGAUGCAGGACUUUGGUCUGAUUCCUUCUGGAACCAGGCUGUUCCUGUCGAAAUCGUGCUGUUUAGGAAUUUUUCUCUUUGAUCUAGAGAAAAACCUCCAAGAAAUGGGAUCCCAGUCAUCAAAAUAUUUUGAGCCCACGUCCCUCCACACCCUCACUCCGGCGUCUGGUUUGAUGUUUAAAAACUAUGUGGCUUCACAUACACAUUUAUAACUAAAUAGACUGACUUAACCAAAAAUAAUUUAGAACUUCAGUGGCCAUUAUGGGGAACUUUUGCUCUCCCAAACUUGUUUUACUCAAAAUUAAAUUGGAAAGAUGCAGCUUCUAGGGGGGAAAAACUGAGAUGCCUACC